rnacentral:lncRNA from 1 species
AGUGCUUAGACAGAAACAUUGGCAAAAUGGUUAGAGAUAAGAGAAAGUUGAUUAGGGACAAGUGCAGAGUGGAACCAGGGAAGAAAACAACGUGGAAUGACUCACUGUGCCCCAGAGCAGUGUGAUCUGUUUUAGAAGACACAGCCAGCCACCAACAAAAUGUGAGUUGUAAAGCAGAAUACGCUCAAGCAUGCGCUCAGAAGAAUUACUGCUGCCUUCCAACUCACUUCCACAUAGAUAAAUCAAUCAAUCCAUCUCUCUCUCUAACCCUGACCUCUGUGCAGAGUUCCAGUUCUACU